UACGUAGGGGGCAAGCGUUGUCCGGAUUUAUUGGGUUUAAAGGGUCCGUAGGCGGUUUUGUAAGUCAGUGGUGAAAGCCCGUCGCUCAACGGCGGAACGGCCAUUGAUACUGCAAGACUUGAAUUAUUGGGAAGCAACUAGAAUAUGUAGUGUAGCGGUGAAAUGCUUAGAGAUUACAUGGAAUACCAAUUGCGAAGGCAGGUUGCUACCAAUACAUUGACGCUGAUGGACGAAAGCGUGGGGAGCGAACAGG
rnacentral:rRNA from 1 species